UGGGUCAGCAAAGCAAUCAGAUUGGUAAUGCUUCAAGCAUAUGCUUGGGAAGAUCCCCCUCUCUCUCUUUCUUUUCCCAUUCUCUCUUCCCCUUUUAAAAGCUCAGGAACUUCAUCGUUUGUCACUCUCUCCGAGCCCCGGGAAUCCCUUUCCCGGCGGCUUCCAUUCCCACCCAAAGUCCCCUGCUCUCUCUGCCGGCAUCUCUGGCGAAGGGCGGUCGUGGCGCCGAGAUCCGCCACGGCGGCGGCGGCGAUGACGGAUGCUAUUUUUUGAAAGAAUACUAGCUCUGUUGUAGGCGUUCGUGAUUUUGGGCAACUAAAGGACCCUUUGGCAUUUCGUUAGUGCAUCAGCAGUUACUUUCAGUUAAUCAGCCCAUGGCAGAGGAGGUGAGACAUACAAAGGCCAAUCACGUUCGAGUUUGUUGUUCCUCGGACCCGGGUGUAAUAUCAUCACAGGUCGAUCGUAAUGUUAUUAGCUGAAUCUUCUUGAAUCGUGUUUAAAUUUCUUCAUGAUGUCAAA